rnacentral:rRNA from 1 species
ACUUCUUGUUUCCUGGGCGGGUUCGCCCGCCACCAGGACCCCCAUAAACCUUUUGCAAUGGCAAUCAGCGUCAGUAACAACACAAUAAUUACAACUUUCAACAACGGAUCUCUUGGUUCUGGCAUCGAUGAAGAACGCAGCGAAAUGCGAUAAGUAGUGUGAAUUGCAGAAUUCAGUGAAUCAUCGAAUCUUUGAACGCACAUUGCGCCCUUUGGUAUUCCAAAGGGCAUGCCUGUUCGAGCGUCAUUUGUACCCUCAAGCUUUGCUUGGUGUUGGGCGUCUUUGUCUCCGGCUUGCCUGGAGACUCGCCUUAAAGUGAUUGGCAGCCGGCCUACUGGUUUCGGAGCGCAGCACAAGUCGCGCUCUCUUCCAGCCAAGGUCAGCAUCCACCAAGCCACCUUUUUUACCUUUGACCUCGGAUCAGGUAGGGAUACCCGCUGAACUUAAGCA